AGCUUUGCGCAGAGGCGGUAACGUGACCAAUGAGGCUUAGCCGAGGUGCGUUUAUUGCUGGUUGAAAACUUUAACCCAAUUGCCCGCCGCAGCUCCUGAAAUACGGAUGCUGUUGGCAAUUUUUGAACGCUCCGUACGGAG
rfam:Syphacia muris strain Valencia genome assembly, scaffold: SMTV_scaffold0000178